AGAAUAGACUACCGGGUAGUCCACGCCCUAAACGAUGCGAACUGGAUGUUGGGUACAUUACGGUACUCAGUGUCGAAGCUAACGCGUUAAGUUCGCCGCCUGGGGAGUACGGUCGCAGGACUGAAACUCAAAGGAAUUGACGGGGGCCCGCACAAGCGGUGGAGUAUGUGGUUUAAUUCGAUGCAACGCGAAGAACCUUACCUGGCCUUGACAUCUGUCGAAUCCUGCAGAGAUGCGGGAGUGCCGCAAGGAACGACAAGACAGGUGCUGCAUGGCUGUCGUCAGCUCGUGUCGUGAGAUGUUGGGUUAAGUCCCGCAACGAGCGCAACCCUUGUCCCCAGUUGCCAGCACGUAAUGGUGGGAACUCUAGGGAGACUGCCGGUGACAAACCGGAGGAAGGUGGGGAUGACGUCAAGUCCUCAUGGCCCUUACGGCCAGGGCUACACACGUACUACAAUGGUCGGUACAGAGGGUCGCGAAGCCGCAAGGUGGAGCCAAUCCCAGAAAGCCGAUCCCAGUCCGGAUUGGAGUCUGCAACG
rnacentral:rRNA from 1 species